AGUGAACGCUGGCGGUAGGCCUAACACAUGCAAGUCGAACGGCAGCACAGUAAGAGCUUGCUCUUACGGGUGGCGAGUGGCGGACGGGUGAGGAAUACAUCGGAAUCUACUUUUUCGUGGGGGAUAACGUAGUGAAACUUACGCUAAUACCGCAUACGACCUACGGGUGAAAGCAGGGGAUCUUCGGACCUUGCGCGAUUGAAUGAGCCGAUGUCGGAUUAGCUAGUUGGCGGGGUAAAGGCCCACCAAGGCGACGAUCCGUAGCUGGUCUGAGAGGAUGAUCAGCCACACUGGAACUGAGACACGGUCCAGACUCCUACGGGAGGCAGCAGUGGGGAAUAUUGGACAAUGGGCGCAAGCCUGAUCCAGCCAUACCGCGUGGGUGAAGAAGGCCUUCGGGUUGUAAAGCCCUUUUGUUGGGAAAGAAAAGCGGCAGGUUAAUACCCCGCUGUUCUGACGGUACCCAAAGAAUAAGCACCGGCUAACUUCGUG
rnacentral:rRNA from 1 species